CACUGGGAAGCUGACUCCUCCAGGGUCAUGAGAUCUGGGAACAGUGUAAUCAAACAACGCCCACCUUGUAAGAAAGGUUCUGUGUACUGAAAUUUCCAGUGUAGCAUCUGUUUAUCGGUUAUGGUGUAUCUGUAAUAAAGUGGAUUGAAGUGGGAAUUUCUCAGAGAAAAAUAGAUAACAUCUUAAAUUGUUGUGUUUGUAAGGAGUGCAGCUUAAACUCUGCCUAAGCUGCAGGUUGGCCAACCCUAGGCAAUAACUCAAUUUCCUCCUGCAACUAGAGUAAAGAAAGGCCGGUGUUGUUUAUUGCUGGUGGUUGGUUACCCUGGAUAGAGACGCGAGCUCCAUGAGUUGGCCAGAAUUCCUGGCAAAGACUGUUCGAUACAAUGUUGGCCAGUCACUGAUUUGAUCAUUUAGACAUGGAGCACACGUGUGUAAAGUCCACACCAGC